rnacentral:rRNA from 1 species
AUUGAACGCUGGCGGCAUGCCUUACACAUGCAAGUCGAACGGCAGCACGGGUGCUUGCACCUGGUGGCGGGUGGCGAACGGGUGAGUAAUACAUCGGAACGUACCUUAUCGUGGGGGAUAACGCAGCGAAAGCUGUGCUAAUACCGCAUACGCCCUGAGGGGGAAAGCGGGGGAUCGCAAGACCUCGCGCGAUUAGAGCGGCCGAUGCCUGAUUAGCUAGUUGGUGGGGUAAAAGCCCACCAAGGCGACGAUUAGUAGCUGGUCUGAGAGGACGAUCAGCCACACUGGGACUGAGACACGGCCCAGACUCCUACGGGAGGCAGCAGUGGGGAAUUUUGGACAAUGGGGGCAACCCUGAUCCAGCAAUGCCGCGUGAGUGAAGAAGGCCUUCGGGUUGUAAAGCUCUUUUGUCAGGGAAGAAACACCGGCUCUAACACAGUCCGGGAAUGACGGUACCUGAAGAAUAAGCACCGGCUAACUACGUGCCAGCCGCCGCAGUAA